ACCGAACGCUGGCUCCCCGCUUCAUGCAUGCUCGUCGCUCGAUAAGUACCCAACUUUACGUAUUGUAAAUUGGCAAACCGGUGAGGAAUGGGUAGAUAAUUUACCCAGUAGAUGGGCAUCACGUUCCGAAAGGGACGCUAAUACCCCAUGAUACCCCAUAUCGUCAAGGUAUGACGUCAAAGGCUGGGGAUCUUCGGACCUACCGCUCUUGGAUCGGUCUGCUUCCUACCAGCUACUUGGCGGGGUAAUGGCCCACCAAGGCUGCGACAGGUACCCGGGCUGAGAGGCUGAUCGGGCACAUCCGCACUGAGACACUGGCCGGACACCUACGGGUGGCUGCCGUUCGGAAUAUUCGGCAAUGGACGAAAGUCUGACCGAGCGACGCCGCGUGCGGGAUGAAGGCCCUAUGGGUUGUAAACCGCUUUCGCGAUUAAAUAAAUCAUGUUUGAUUAACAAUCGGGCCUGUUGAAUAAGGAUCGUAAAGAAGCCCCCGCUAAUCACGUGCCAGCAGCGGCGGUAAUACGUGAGGGGCGAACGUUGUUCGGUGUCACUGGGCUUAAAGGGUGCGUACGUGGUUCUGUAAGUAAGGUGUGAAAUCCCUCGGCUUACCCCGGGGAAUUGCAUUUUAUACUGCAGGACUUGAGGGCUAAAGGGGAAAAGGGAACUCCAGGUGUAGCGGUGAAAUGCGCAGAUAUCUGGGGGAAGGCCGGCGGCGAAGGCGCUUUUCUGGUUAGUACCUGACACUGAGGCACGAAAGCGUGGGGAGCAAACAGGAUUAGAUACCAUGGUAGUCCACGCCGUAAACUAUGGAUACCACUUAGAAGGUCCUGCAAGGGACUUUUUAACGGAGCAAAAGCGUUAAGUAUCCCGCCUGGGGAGUAUGGUCGCAAGGCUGAAACUCAAAGGAAUUGACGGGGGCUCACACAAGCGGUGGAGCAUGUUGCUUAAUUCGAUGCAACGCGAAGAACCUUACCCGGGCUCGAAAUGUACGGAUUAAUCCUGUGAAAGCAGGAGUACGCUGGCAAGAGUGGAACGUAUAUAGGUGUUGCAUGGCUGUUGUCAGCUCGUGUCUUGAGAUGUCGGGUUAAGUCCCUUAACGAGCGAAACCCCUGUUUUUAGUUGCCAUCAGGUUAUGCUGGGAACUCUAGAGAGACUGCCGGUGUUACACCGGAGGAAGGUGGGGAUGACGUCAAGUCAUCAUGGCCCUUACGUCCGGGGCGGCAAACGUGCUACAAUUGUCAUUACAGCGCGACGUGAUACCGCGAGGUGGAGCAAAUCGGUUAAAAAUGGCACCAGUUUGUAUUGGGAGGGUGCAAUUUGCCCCCAAGAAGCCGGAAUCGUUAGUAAUCGGGGAUCAGGCACGCCGCGGCGAAUAAGUUC
rnacentral:rRNA from 1 species